rnacentral:ncRNA from 1 species
GACGGUGAAUUCGUUCCCGGGCCUUGUACACACCGCCCGUCACACUAUGGGAGCUGGCCAUGCCCGAAGUCGUUACCUUAACCGCAAGGAGGAGGAUGCCGAAGGCAGGGCUAGUGACUGGAGUGAAGUCGUAACAAGGUAGCCGUACUGGAAGGUGCGGCUGGAUCACCUCCUUU